rnacentral:rRNA from 1 species
GUGGGUAGUUUGACUGGGGCGGUCUCCUCCUAAAGAGUAACGGAGGAGCACGAAGGUUAGCUAAUCCUGGUCGGACAUCAGGAGGUUAGUGCAAAGGCAUAAGCUAGCUUGACUGCGAGAGUGACGGCUCGAGCAGGUGCGAAAGCAGGUCUUAGUGAUCCGGUGGUUCUGAAUGGAAGGGCCAUCGCUCAACGGAUAAAAGGUACUCCGGGGAUAACAGGCUGAUACCGCCCAAGAGUUCAUAUCGACGGCGGUGUUUGGCACCUCGAUGUCGGCUCAUCACAUCCUGGGGCUGAAGUAGGUCCCAAGGGUAUGGCUGUUCGCCAUUUAAAGUGGUACGCGAGCUGGGUUUAGAACGUCGUGAGACAGUUCGGUCCCUAUCUGCCGUGGGCGCUGGAGAAUUGAGGGGGGCUGCUCCUAGUACGAGAGGACCGGAGUGGACGCAUCACUGGUGUUCGGGUUGUCAUGCCAAUGGCAUUGCCCGGUAGCUAAAUGCGGAAGAGAUAAGUGCUGAAAGCAUCUAAGCACGAAACUUGCCCCGAGAUGAGUUCUCCCUGAGACUAUAAGUCUCCUGAAGGAACGUUGAAGACGACGACGUUGAUAGGUCGGGUGUGUAAGUGUAGCGAUACAUUGAGCUAACCGAUACUAAUGAACCGUGAGGCUUAACCUU